CCUCCCUCCCUGCCUCUCACACAGACGUAAUCUGUGGAUCAGAGAGAGGCAGGCGCUCAGUCGGUGGAGAGUUGAGCUCGGAGGGAAGUGAUGAGAGUGAAAAUACCCCCCCCCCCCCCCUAAAUGUGGCAAGACUUGGAAGAAACCGCAUCAGUCCACCUCGACAGGACAGUGAAUCCUGCUCCUGUUUUUACGCGCAGGAGGUGAAAAAAAAAUGUGUUCACAUUGUGCCGCCUGAUGCUGUCUUUUUCAACUCUGUGAAGAAAAUUUCCAUCAGAUGCUGUUACGGCCAAUUUUGAACUGAAGAUGAAAGACUUGGAGCUCCUCUGAUUAAUGAGUCUGGAACCGGCCAUGCUGCUGCCAUUUCUCAUUGCAACUGUCUGAAACGGCUCUCUGACACUGUGUCCUGUAUCUGUAAUUCACGUAAAACACGCAGCUCACACUGUUGAUAUUUAUGUGUAGGAAUGUGUUUUACGCUCUCACGAAGUGCUGACGUUUGCUGCAAGGUUUUUAUGGCUGAUUAAUUGAUGAAUUCAAUAAAGUUAAAUCAGAAUGCCUGCAUUAGUGUCUAAUGUGAUUAUUCCCUUACACACAUAACUCAUUCAGUGUUUCACUCCAGGAUAUCCUUCCAACCCCCAUCUUAUACUCUCUAUCACUCUUUUCUCACA